UACGAAGGGUGCAAGCGUUACUCGGAAUUACUGGGCGUAAAGGGUGCGUAGGUGGUUUGUUAAGUCUGCUGUGAAAUCCCCGGGCUCAACCUGGGAAUGGCAGUGGAUACUGGCAAGCUAGAGUGCGGUAGAGGGUAGUGGAAUUCCCGGUGUAGCAGUGAAAUGCGUAGAGAUCGGGAGGAACACCUGUGGCGAAAGCGGCUCACUGGACCAUAACUGACGCUGAUGCACGAAAGCUGGGGGAGCAAA
rnacentral:rRNA from 1 species